rnacentral:rRNA from 1 species
ACAGCAGUAGCCGCGGUAAUACGAAGGGUGCAAGCGUUAAUCGGAAUUACUGGGCGUAAAGCGUGCGUAGGCGGUGAGUUAAGUCUGCUGUGAAAUCCCCGGGCUCAACCUGGGAAUGGCAGUGGAUACUGGCUCGCUAGAGUGUGUCAGAGGAUGGUGGAAUUCCCGGUGUAGCGGUGAAAUGCGUAGAGAUCGGGAGGAACAUCAGUGGCGAAGGCGACUAUCUGGGCCAACACUGACACUGAGGCACGAGAGCGUGGGGAGCAAACAGGAUUAGAUACCCCAGUAGUCCCUGUCUCUUAUAC